GACGAACGCUGGCGGCGUGCCUAAUACAUGCAAGUAGAACGCUGAAGGAGGAGCUUGCUUCUCCGGAUGAGUUGCGAACGGGUGAGUAACGCGUAGGUAACCUGCCUGGUAGCGGGGGAUAACUAUUGGAAACGAUAGCUAAUACCGCAUAACAGUAGAUGUUGCAUGACAUUUGCUUAAAAGGUGCAAUUGCAUCACUACCAGAUGGACCUGCGUUGUAUUAGCUAGUUGGUGGGGUAACGGCUCACCAAGGCGACGAUACAUAGCCGACCUGAGAGGGUGAUCGGCCACACUGGGACUGAGACACGGCCCAGACUCCUACGGGAGGCAGCAGUAGGGAAUCUUCGGCAAUGGACGGAAGUCUGACCGAGCAACGCCGCGUGAGUGAAGAAGGUUUUCGGAUCGUAAAGCUCUGUUGUAAGAGAAGAACGGGUGUGAGAGUGGAAAGUUCACACUGUGACGG
rnacentral:rRNA from 1 species